AGUGAACGCUGGCGGUAGGCCUAACACAUGCAAGUCGAACGGCAGCACAGUAAGAGCUUGCUCUUACGGGUGGCGAGUGGCGGACGGGUGAGGAAUACAUCGGAAUCUACUUUUUCGUGGGGGAUAACGUAGGGAAACUUACGCUAAUACCGCAUACGACCUACGGGUGAAAGCAGGGGAUCUUCGGACCUUGCGCGAUUGAAUGAGCCGAUGUCGGAUUAGCUAGUUGGCGGGGUAAAGGCCCACCAAGGCGACGAUCCGUAGCUGGUCUGAGAGGAUGAUCAGCCACACGGGAACUGAGACACGGUCCAGACUCCUACGGGAGGCAGCAGUGGGGAAUAUUGGACAAGGGGCGCAAGCCUGAUCCAGCCAUACCGCGUGGGUGAAGAAGGCCUUCGGGUUGUAAAGCCCUUUUGUUGGGAAAGAAAAGCAGCAGGUUAAUACCCCGCUGUUCUGACGGUACCCAAAGAAUAAGCACCGGCGAACUUCGU
rnacentral:rRNA from 1 species